rnacentral:rRNA from 1 species
AAAAGAAACAACAGGGAUUGCCUAGUAACGGCGAGUGAAGCGGCAACAGCUCAAAUUUGAAAUCUGGCCUCACGGUCCGAGUUGUAAUUUGUAGAGGAUGCUUCUGGCGACGUGCCUUCCGAGUUCCCUGGAACGGGACGCCAUAGAGGGUGAGAGCCCCGUCCGGUCGUGCACCUAGCCUCUGUGAAGCUCCUUCGACGAGUCGAGUAGUUUGGGAAUGCUGCUCUAAAUGGGAGGUAUACGUCUUCUAAAGCUAAAUACCGGCCAGAGACCGAUAGCGCACAAGUAGAGUGAUCGAAAGAUGAAAAGCACUUUGAAAAGAGGGUUAAAUAGUACGUGAAAUUGCUGAAAGGGAAGCGCUUAUGACCAGACUUGGGCUCGGUGAAUCAUCCGGCGUUCUCGCCGGUGCACUUUGCCGUCCCAGGCCAGCAUCAGUUCGCGCCGGGGGAUAAAGGUUUCGGGAACGUGGCUCCCUCGGGAGUGUUAUAGCCCGUUGCGUAAUACCCUGGCGUGGACUGAGGUCCGCGCUCUGCAAGGAUGCUGGCGUAAUGGUCAUCAGUGACCCGUCUUGAAACACGGACCAAGGAGUCGUCUUCGUAUGCGAGUGUUCGGGUGUCAAACCCCUACGCGUAAUGAAAGUGAACGUAGGAGAGAGCUUCGGCGCAUCUCCGACCGAUCCUGAUGUUCUCGGAUGGAUUUGAGUAAGAGCAUACGGGGCCGGACCCGAAAGAAGGUGAACUAUGCCUGUAUAGGGUGAAGCCAGAGGAAACUCUGGUGGAGGCUCGCAGCGGUUCUGACGUGCAAAUCGAUCGUCAAAAUAUGGGCAUGGGGGCGAAAGAC